rnacentral:rRNA from 1 species
UACAGGGGGGCAAGCGUUGUUCGGAAUUACUGGGCGUAAAGGGCUCGUAGGUGGUCAACUAAGUCGGACGUGAAAUCCCUCGGCUUAACCGGGGAACUGCGUCCGAUACUGGAUGACUUGAGUUCGGGAGAGGGAUGCGGAAUUCCAGGUGUAGCGGUGAAAUGCGUAGAUAUCUGGAGGAACACCGGUGGCGAAGGCGGCAUCCUGGACCGACACUGACGCUGAGGAGCGAAAGCCAGGGGAGCAAACGGG